rnacentral:rRNA from 1 species
UUGGAGGGCAAGUCUGGUGCCUGCAGCCGCGGUAAUUCCAGCUCCAAUAGCGUAUAUUAAAGUUGUUGCAGUUAAAAAGCUCGUAGUUGAACUUCGGGGUCUACCCAUUGGUCAGGCUUAAUUGUCUGCACUGGUGAGAUGGAUCUCUACCUUCUGAGGAACUUUCAUGCCAUUUAUUUAGUGUGAUUGGAAAUCAGGACUGUUACUUUGAAAAAAUUAGAGUGUUUAAAGCAGACUAUCGUCUGAAUACAUUAGCAUGGAAUAAUGAAAUAGGACGGACUGAUUCUAUUUCGUUGGUUUCUAGGAUCACCGUAAUGAUUAAUAGGGAUAGUUGGGGGCAUUAGUAUUCAAUUGUCAGAGGUGAAAUUCUUGGAUUUAUUGAAGACUAACUACUGCGAAAGCAUUUGCCAAGGAUGUUUUCAUUAAUCAAGAACGAAAGUUAGGGGAUCGAAGACGAUCAGAUACCGUCGUAGUCUUAACCAUAAACUAUGCCGACUAGGGAUCGGACGAAGUUAAUUUUAUAAUGACGCGUUCGGCACCUUACGGGAAACCAAAGUGUUUGGGUAAUC